rnacentral:lncRNA from 1 species
UUGACGACACCUUUCCAGUCGGUGUUGGGAGGCGAUGAUUUGCUCUCUCAUCUCGUAUUUCCUCUACGUUUUCGUCCGAACACGUGGUGCCGACCUGGAUCAUUAGCUGGUUCUUCUCUACGAUUUCCUCCGGCUGAGCCUUCCUGUUGGACUACCCUUGUAAUUUGCUUUGUUUUUAAUGUUUGGUUGGGCUUGUUAGGCUCGUC